UACAGUAUUACUUCAUUCGUAAAGAUUCUCCUUAGUAAAUUCUUUGGUUAUGUUGUGGACUUUCUUUUUCUCGUACUUUUUUAGGAUUUCUCCCCAUGUAGGGAUGGGUAGUAGAAUACGUUUCCCUACCGCAGCCAGAAGCGUGACGUAAGAGGCGUCUAACUGUGCAAACCAGUUCCUAAGUUCAGAAAAGGGACUAUUCUAGUUUAGAAGUCCUUUUCCAUUUCUCUCUUAACUUUUGUUGUAAUUUAGCUUAUCUCGCCGCAUGAUAACUCUAAAAAUUCCUAAUUUAUUCGUUCAAGUAAAAUGUAGUUAUUAAAAUUAUAAAAUUAGAUGGCCGAUCGGUUUAGUAUAAAUUUAGCAUAAGUAUAUUUCCCGGAUUUGACUUUUACCUCCCCUCAUUGGAUCCCUGAGGAAGGACUCGGACUUUACUCUCACCACUUCCUCAGCGAAGUUGGUCAUUUAAAAGGCUACACUAUUUAGUGCUAGUUCCUUUCCUUCCAUUGUGUAAGGAAAGCUGGUGGUGGUGUGCCAGUCACAAUUGGUUUAUUUGAGUUGUCUCAGUACACUCAUUACAUUUUAUUUCAUUUCCUUCCAUUGUGUAAGGAAAGCUGGUGGUGGUGUGCCAGUCACAAUUGGUUUAUUUGAGUUGUCUCAGUACACUCAUCACAUUUUAUUUCAUUUCCUUCCAUUGUGUAAGGAAAGCUGGUGGUGGUGUGCCAGUCACAAUUGGUUUAUUUGAGUUGUCUCAGUACACUCAUUACAUUUUAUUUCAUUUCCUUCCAUUGUGUAAGGAAAGCUGGUGGUGGUGUGCCAGUCACAAUUGGUUUAUUUGAGUUGUCUCAGUACACUCAUCACAUUUUAUUUCAUUUCCUUCCAUUGUGUAAGGAAAGCUGGUGGUGGUGUGCCAGUCACAAUUGGUUUAUUUGAGUUGUCUCAGUACACUCAUUACAUUUUAUUUCAUUUCCUUCCAUUGUGUAAGGAAAGCUGGUGGUGGUGUGCCAGUCACAAUUGGUUUAUUUGAGUUGUCACAGUACACUCAUUCCAUUUCCUUUCUUUUUCGAUAGUCAGUGGUGACAGUACCUAACUGCACUCUAAAUUCCCUUUUAUUUCCAAAUUAGUCAGCGGCGAUGGUGCCUAGCUGCACUACCCCCUUUGUUAGUUAAUAACAAAUUCUUCUUUAACUGUAGGUUAAUUUGGCAUGUAAAGUGAAACUAGUCAGCGGCGUGGGUGCCUAACUGUACUAAUCAUCUCCUCGUUUUGUAUUACCUUAAGUCUCUAAUUAAAUUAAAAUAGUUCAGCACGUCAGCUUAGCAUAAGACAGUGGCAGAGGUGCCUAACUGUAUUAUAAUUCCCUUAACUUAGUAUACUAUAAAUUUUGUUUCUUCAUAAAUAAUAAAAUUUAGUGGUAACCUCGUUUUCGCAUGUUAGUAAUUCCAGACAGUGGCUUUGGGGCUCAACUGUCUCUAAUUGUUAGUUAACUUAAUGCAUUGCAUCUGCACGAGUAGAGUAUAAUUGAUUGGUUAGUUUUCAUUUUACAUCCCUUAAAUUUAAGUUUGUUUAAUUUCAAUUCUCCUAAAAUCAAUGUAGAAGCGGAAUUGAACUGUUGAUAGGUGGUGCUGAGGCCCGUCGUUUCUCACUCUUUCCCUCUUGUACCGUAGAACCAUUAAUAAUAGCAAGUUUUAAAGUUAGUCACAGGAUUUUCAACUUUAGUUUUUCUAUGUCCUAUAAUUACAAUAAUUACUCUUAUAAGUUUACUCUAGUAUUCCGCCCAAAGUAUUCCUUGAUAAACUCUAAGCUCUGCAGUUCAGUUCUAGUCUAGCGGUUAUUUUUGAGUUAGCUUUUGUUUUCUUCCAUAAAAAAUAGUUCCUAUUUUUUAUUUUUCACAGAAAGGGGGUAAUGUAACGUGUCAAUAAGUCACGUCACAUACUAAACACAUAUUUAAUAAAGUUCUCCAUGAGUUAGCCUACAUUUGUUUAGAUUUAUUUCCAAAUUAGAAAAUAUUCCCAAUUCCUGUUUUAUUUACAACCAUUCGCUUGUCACUUUGACGUUUGACAGCGAACUAUUUGAGUUUCGUUGUCUUUGACAGAUUCGGUAACUUUCAUUCCAAUGCCUUUAAAAUUGUCUCAAACGUUUUCAUAUUUGAUAAAUUCUUCUUUUCGUUUAAAUUUCGCAAGUGGUAGUUUUGUUUUAGGAAAAAUAGAUCCGACAAUAUUUGAUAAUAUAUUUAAUAAUAUAUUCGUCAAAAAUUGUUCAAAAUUUAUUACAAUUUUAGCAUUUUGGUUAGCAAAAAUCAUUCUUAUUUCGGAUCUGGUAACAUUUCUUCUUAUCGAUGGUUCGAUGUGAAUUCCGUCUUGUCAUUUUACUGUCAGCUUUCUCAUUGGAAAACAGAUAAAAUUUUGAUCCGAGAAAAUCAUUGUAAAUUUCCAUUAUUUUGGUGAAAUACCGGCAGUGCUUUGUUCCGGAGGUUUGCUCCGUCCCUCAGGAAUGGAUUAGGGGCGAAAAUAAUGCCGCCACGGCAAACCCCGGCAACCUAAUGAAGGGCUAACGUAAGUUUUUCCUCAAUUUCCACAAUCGUCUUUCGGAAAAUGCGAUUCCUUUUAAAUUUUCCGGUUCGACUUUAGCUGACUCGCGCCAUUUUUCUUUUCCAGAUAAGGGGCGUGUUAGCCCUUAUAACCCUUAUAAUCCUUUUAA